UGACCCCCUACGGAUCCUUAAGUCCUCCUUGCCUUCCAUGCCCCCACAAUCCCCUAUAGAGCCCUACAUCCUUUAUGCCCCCCAUAAGCUCCCACCAUCCCCUACAGACUCCGGCCCACCCCUUUGUGGCCCCAUUGGCACUGCACAGCACCGCCACCACCCACAUCCUUUUCCGUUGUGGGGCGGAAGGAAGCGGCGGCCCCACAGUGUGGCAGCAGCGCCAUGGCCGGCCCUAUAACCGCCCUUAUGGGCGUCGUGCUCGGGGCUCUGUUCUCCCCUAUGGGAUCCUUCAACAUCCAUCCGACCCCACAGCGGGUCCUGGAGGUCGCGGGGACCCCCAGCUUUGGUUAUGGGGUGCUGACGCUGCCGGAGGGACGGGUGGUUGUGGGGGCUCCAAAUGUGGGGCGGUUGUAU